rnacentral:rRNA from 1 species
UGGGGAAUAUUGGACAAUGGGCGCAAGCCUGAUCCAGCCAUGCCGCGUGAGUGAUGAAGGCCUUAGGGUUGUAAAGCUCUUUCGCCGACGAAGAUAAUGACGGUAGUCGGAGAAGAAGCCCCGGCUAACUUCGUGCCAGCAGCCGCGGUAAUACGAAGGGGGCUAGCGUUGUUCGGAAUCACUGGGCGUAAAGCGCACGUAGGCGGAUUGUUAAGUCAGGGGUGAAAGCCUGGAGCUCAACUCCAGAACUGCCCUUGAUACUGGCAAUCUCGAGUCCGGAAGAGGUAAGUGGAACUGCGAGUGUAGAGGUGAAAUUCGUAGAUAUUCGCAAGAACACCAGUGGCGAAGGCGGCUUACUGGUCCGGUACUGACGCUGAGGUGCGAAAAGCGUGGGGAGCAAAACAGGAUUAGAUACCCUGGUAGUCCACGCCGUAAAACGAUGGAGGCUAGCCGUUGGCGAGCAUGCUCGUCAGUGGCGCAGCUAACGCAUUAAGCCUCCCGCCUGGGGAGUACGGUCGCAAGAUUAAAAACUU